rnacentral:rRNA from 1 species
AGCAGCCGCGGUAAUUCCAGCUCCAAUAGCGUAUAUUAAAGUUGUUGCAGUUAAAAAGCUCGUAGUUGAAUUUCAGGCCUGGCUGGACGGUCCGCCUUCGGGUGAGUACUGUCUGUGGUCGGGUCCUACCUUCUGGCGAAGCGUCAUGGCCUUAACCGGCCGUGGCGGGGAACCAGGACUUUUACUGUGAAAAAUUAGAGUGUUCAAAGCAGGCAAUCGCUUGGAUACAUUAGCAUGGAAUAAUGGAAUAGGACAAUGGUUCUAUUUGUUGGUUUCUAGGACCGUUGUAAUGAUUAAUAGGGAUAGUUGGGGGCAUUAGUAUUCAAUUGUCAGAGGUGAAAUUCUUGGAUUUAUUGAAGACUAACUACUGCGAAAGCAUUUGCCAAGGAUGUUUUCAUUAAUCAAGAACGAAAGUUAGGGGAUCGAAGACGAUCAGAUACCGUCGUAGUCUUAACCAUAAACUAUGCCGACUAGGAUCGGGCGAUGUUGAAAAAAUGACGCGCUCGGCACCUCAUG